UUUGCAAAAGAUGCCAGGAAAUCAUUGAGUGGAAGAUAAAAUACAAAAAAUACAAACCUUUGUCCCAGGCCAAAACAUGCACCAAAUGUCAUAAUAAAGCUGUAAAGGAUGCCUACCACACAAUAUGUAUUCCUUGUGCAUCAAACAUGGAAGUGUGUUGCAAAUGUGG